AGCAGCCGCGGUAAUUCCAGCUCCAAUAGCGUAUAUUAAAGUUGUUGCAGUUAAAAAGCUCGUAGUUGAAUUUCGGGGUUAGUAGGUUGGUCAUGCCUCUGGUAUGUACUGGUCUCACUGAUUCCUCCUUCCUGAUGAGCCGUAAUGCCAUUAAUUUGGUGUUGCGGGGAAUUUGGACUGUUACUUUGAAAAAAUUAGAGUGUUUAAAGCAAGCUAACGCUUGAAUACAUUAGCAUGGAAUAAUGAAAUAGGACGUUCGAUCCUAUUUUGUUGGUUUCUAGGAUUGACGUAAUGAUUAAUAGGGAUAGUUGGGGGCAUUAGUAUUCAAUUGUCAGAGGUGAAAUUCUUGGAUUCAUUGAAGACUAACUACUGCGAAAGCAUUUGCCAAGGAUGUUUUCAUUAAUCAAGAACGAAAGUUAGGGGAUCGAAGACGAUCAGAUACCGUCGUAGUCUUAACCAUAAACUAUGCCGACUAGGGAUCGGAUGAUGUUAAUUUUUUAAUGACUCA
rnacentral:rRNA from 1 species